rnacentral:rRNA from 1 species
CUAAGAAUCUUGCGCAAUGGGCGAAAGCCUGACGCAGCAACGCCGCGUGCGGGAGGAAGGCCUUCGGGUUGUAAACCGCUUUUGCGAGGGAAGAAGUUCUGACGGUACCUCGCGAAUAAGUCACGGCUAACUACGUG